rnacentral:rRNA from 1 species
CACGUAGGGGGCGAGCGUUGUCCGGAAUCAUUGGGCGUAAAGAGCUCGUAGGCGGCUCAGUAAGUCGGGUGUGAAACCCUCAGGCUCAACCUGGGGACGCCACCCGAUACUGCUGUGGCUAGAGUCCAGUAGGGGAGUGUGGAAUUCCCGGUGUAGCGGUGAAAUGCGCAGAUAUCGGGAGGAACACCAGCGGCGAAGGCGGCACUCUGGGCUGGAACUGACGCUGAGGAGCGAAAGCAUGGGGAGCGAACAGG